rnacentral:rRNA from 1 species
GUGCCAGCCGCCGCGGUAAUACGAAGGGUGCAAACGUUGCUCGGAAUCAUUGGGCGUAAAGCGCACGUAGGCGGCUUUGCAAGUCGGAUGUGAAAUCCCGUGGCUCAACCAUGGACGUGCAUUCGAAACUGCAAAGCUUGAGUAUGGAAGAGGGUCGCGGAAUUCCCGGUGUAGAGGUGAAAUUCGUAGAUAUCGGGAGGAACACCAGUGGCGAAGGCGGCGACCUGGGCCAAUACUGACGCUGAGGUGCGAAAGCGUGGGGAGCAAACAGGAUUAGAAACCCCCGUAGUCC